UACAUUUUAGUCACAGGUAUUUUUAGUAAAAGUCAUGGACAGGUCACAGGCAGUAAACAAAAAUUCACAGCCCGUGACCUGUCUGUGACUUGUACUAUAUACCCCCUAACUAAAAUUUGGGCCGGGGGCUGCUGGUGCUGUUUUGUCUACAGUGCUGA